rnacentral:SRP_RNA from 1 species
CCGCACUAGUUGGGGAGAUAGCGGUGCCCUGUACCUGCAACCCGCUAAAGCAGGGAUGAAUCCCGGCCCCCGGACGUGUGAUGUGUCGUCUGACCUGGAUAAGCAGUGAUGAUAGGCCGGUCCCGCGCAACGCGGCUCCGUGAACCGUGUCAGGCGGGGAACCGAGCAGCACUAAGCGGCCCGCCGCGUGUGCCGCGGGGGUACUGUCCUUGAGCCGGCUGUCCCGGUAACGGACAUACCGCGCGCUUCAAAGGCCGGUGUGCGG